rnacentral:rRNA from 1 species
GAUGAACGCUGGCGGCGUGCCUAAUACAUGCAAGUCGAGCGAACAGACGAGGAGCUUGCUCCUCUGACGUUAGCGGCGGACGGGUGAGUAACACGUGGAUAACCUACCUAUAAGACUGGGAUAACUUCGGGAAACCGGAGCUAAUACCGGAUAACAUCUUGAACCGCAUGGUUCAAAAGUGAAAGACGGUGUUGCUGUCACUUAUAGAUGGAUCCGCGCCGCAUUAGCUAGUUGGUAAGGUAACGGCUUACCAAGGCAACGAUGCGUAGCCGACCUGAGAGGGUGAUCGGCCACACCGGAACUGAGACACGGUCCCGACUCCUACGGGAGGCAGCAGUAGGGAAUCUUCCGCAAUGGGCGGAAGCCUGACGGAGCAAAGCCGCGUGAGUGAAGAAGGUUUUCGGAUCGUAAAACUCUGUUAUUAGGGAAGAACAAAUUUGUAAGUAACUGUGCACAUCUUGACGGUACCUAAUUAGAAAGCCACGGCUAACUACGUG